rnacentral:rRNA from 1 species
GUCUAUGGCAAUGCCACCCUGAACAAGCCCAAUCCCAUCUGAUUUUGGAAGCUAAACUACACAGGGUCGGAUCUGGUUAGUACUUGGAUGAGAGACCUAGGAAGACCAGGUGCCGUAGGCG